rnacentral:rRNA from 1 species
UACGUAGGGCGCAAGCGUUGUCCGGAAUUAUUGGGCGUAAAGAGCUCGUAGGUAGUUUGUCGCGUCUGCCGUGAAAACCCGAGGCUUAACCUCGGGCCUGCGGUGGAUACGGGCAAACUAGAGGUAGGUAGGGGAGAACGGAAUUCCCGGUGUAGCGGUGAAAUGCGCAGAUAUCGGGAGGAACACCGGUGGCGAAGGCGGUUCUCUGGGCCUUACCUGACGCUGAGGAGCGAAAGCAUGGGGAGCGAACAGG